GCGCCCUUAGCUCAGCUGGAUAGAGCACCGGACUUCUAAUCCGACGGUCGCAGGUUCGAAUCCUGCAGGGCGCGCAA
rnacentral:tRNA from 2 species